UCUUUAUGGGGUGACUGCGUACCUUUUGUAUAAUGGGUCAGCGACUUAUAUUCUGUAGCAAGGUUAACCGAAUAGGGGAGCCGAAGGGAAACCGAGUCUUAACUGGGCGUUAAGUUGCAGGGUAUAGACCCGAAACCCGGUGAUCUAGCCAUGGGCAGGUUGAAGGUUGGGUAACACUAACUGGAGGACCGAACCGACUAAUGUUGAAAAAUUAGCGGAUGACUUGUGGCUGGGGGUGAAAGGCCAAUCAAACCGGGAGAUAGCUGGUUCUCCCCGAAAGCUAUUUAGGUAGCGCCUCGUGAAUUCAUCUCCGGGGGUAGAGCACUGUUUCGGCAAGGGGGUCAUCCCGACUUACCAACCCGAUGCAAACUGCGAAUACCGGAGAAU
rnacentral:rRNA from 1 species